AGUAUAACGGUACAAACACAAUCAUUCAUUCAACAACAGCAGUUGGAUCUCUCCAUUACAACUCCAAUUAAUUCACCACGAUGGCUUGCGGCAAAGCUCUCUUAGCAUCUCUGAUGAUCUUCAUUCUCAUUUGCAAUUCAGCUGAAGGUUUCCACUACCGAGUACUGACAGACCCCUAUAUAAUGGGUGAAUGUCCCAAAAUUCCUGACUGUCCGGGGGAUUACAUCGUGUCCUGGUGUAGGCGAUACCAAAUUAUCACGUUAGCAGAUGGAAUCAUGUGUCGUGAUUGCCCGAUUAACGUCUGUGGCAAUUAAUUUCCUCCUCAACACACCUGUCGUCCAAUGAGUAUGGACGGUAAACAUUGAACGAGACUCACGCGUUCCUGAAUGGUACUGAUGUCGGGGACAUACUCGAAUUCAUCACAACAAGACUUCAUCACUUGCCUGUUAACGAGACUCACGCGUUCCUGAAUGGUACUGAUGUCGGGGACAUACUCGAAUAUAUCACAACAAGACUUCAUCACUUGCCUGUUAACGUGCAGGCACACAGGAUCGAGGAAUUCCAUACAACAUCGGCAUGUCUUUAGCGUGCACUGUUGAUUCUACGAAUAUUGUCAUUUGUUUGACGAAUUUGUUAAACAUAUUUUCAUUUCUGCAAACCAUUUUAUUAAUAGCUUCCUGUAUUAAGUAUUUAUUUUAAAGCAAGUAUUUUCAUUCAAAGUGCCGACAUGUACUUCUGGAUAAUGUCCUAUCAUGAUAUCAAAGUUUGACUUUCUACACAAACCAGUCGAUCUAGAAACGUUGCGACACGUUUAAUGCGUACAUUGUGUAGAAAGUGAAACUUUGAUAUCUCUUUUUUUCCAAACUGAUGAAUCUUAUUGAUAAUGUCCAAUCAUAUUUAUUUAACAAUGUAAGAUAUUGAAUUGUGUCAUAUGUCGAGUGUAUUGCUAUUGAUAGCAUUUACCAUGUGGGGAAUCACAUGAUAAUAAUCUAGGGUGAAAUGGCAAAAAUAAGGUGCACCUCGGGUCACAUUCGUAUAUGUUGAGUGUAUUAUGAUUGAUAGCAUUUAAUGCUAUGCGAUCUAACAGAAAUAGUAUCAAUGCAAUAUUGAGUAUGAUUAUUGAACAUAUUUAGGCAGUUGAUGUGUGAACUGCUCGUCAUUUAAUUUACAACUCUGUGAUGCUGGUCAUCAUCUGUCCUACAUAAUGUACAACACUCAUUUUUUAUAAACAUUUAGAAUUUUGUAUUUUUUAUGUAUUGC